rnacentral:rRNA from 1 species
GACGUAGGGUGCGAGCGUUGUCCGGAUUUAUUGGGGCGUAAAGAGCUCGUAGGCGGUCUGUCGCGUCUGCUGUGAAAACUCGGGGCUUAACCCCGGGCCUGCAGUGGGUACGGGCAGACUAGAGUGCGGUAGGGGAGACUGGAAUUCCUGGUGUAGCGGUGAAAUGCGCAGAUAUCAGGAGGAACACCGGUGGCGAAGGCGGGUCUCUGGGCCGUAACUGACGCUGAGGAGCGAAAGCGUGGGGAGGCGAACAGG